GAUGAACGCUGGCGGCGUGCCUUAUACAUGCAAGUCGAGUGGGUUUAGACCCACGGCCAACGGGUGAGUAACACGUAGGUACUUUCCUUGUCACAGGAAUAACCCUCCGAAAGGAGGGCUAAUACCUGAUGUGAUCGCAAGAUUAAAGGGUAUCCGCAAGGAUUACCGGACAAGAAGAGGCCUGCGGCCUAUCAGCUAGUUGGCGGGGUAAAUGCCCACCAAGGCUAUGACGGGUAGCUGGUCUUAUGAGGAUGAUCAGUCACAUGGGCACUGAGACACGGGCCCAACUCCUACGGGAGGCAGCAGGAGGGAAUUUUGCGCAAUGGGCGAAAGCCUGACGCAGCGACGCCGCGUGCGGGAUGAAGGCCUUCGGGUCGUAAACCGCUUUUAUAAGGGACGAACUUUGACGGUACCUUAUGAAUAAGGGGUUGCUAACUCUGUG
rnacentral:rRNA from 1 species